AUUGAACGCUGGCGGCAGGCCUAACACAUGCAAGUCGAGCGGAUCGGAGGCCGGGUGCGUAAUGCCAAGGACUCGGCCUUGUCGUGGGGGAUAACGUCAGGAACCGGGCGCGGAUACCGCAUACUCUCAGAUGAGCAUAGGUCGAAUUAGCUAGUUGGUGGGGUAAAGGCCUACCACGGCGACGUUCCUUACCUGGUCUGAGAGGAUGAUCAGUCACACUGGAACUGAGACACGGGCCAGACUCCUACGGGAGGCAGCAGUGGGGAAUAUUGGACAAUGGUCCAAAGCCUGAUCCAGCCAGGCCGCGUGUGUGAAGAAGGUCUUCGGAUUGUAAAGCACUUUAAGUUGGGAGGCGUGACCAACAGAAUAAGCACCGGCUAACUUCGUGCCAGCAGCCGGGGUAAUAC
rnacentral:rRNA from 1 species